rnacentral:misc_RNA from 1 species
AGAACUCAUAGAAGACUCGUCUGGGUAAAUUAUCAUUCUUGUCUAAUUCAACCUCUUAAGCUACAUUUAUCAAUUAUCGACAUGGGAUUGGCUGAGUUUAGCUGGAGUCAUAUAUAGCAGAAGCUGGAGAUGAUAAAGAAAAAUGGACAAGAAGUUUCUCAUCUGAGUCUUUUCUAGAAUCAUGCACCUUAUGAUCAAUAAGUACUUCAGGGCUGUAACCAAAAAUGAGGUUGAUAUUGUUGAAA